rnacentral:tRNA from 2 species
GCCCAUGUAGCUCAAAAGCAGAGCGGUCGCCUUGUAAGCGACAGGUAGCGGGAGCAUUACCACGCCUUGGGCUCCA